rfam:Schistosoma mansoni strain Puerto Rico chromosome W, complete genome
AGCUUUACGAAUCCGUACCGAGAUUUCCUCAGACACUAAACCACAAAGGCUGAUGAGAUUUAAAAGAUGAGUGGAGUA